rnacentral:rRNA from 1 species
UACGAAGGGGGCUAGCGUUGCUCGGAAUCACUGGGCGUAAAGCGCACGUAGGCGGGUCUUUAAGUCAGGGGUGAAAUCCUGGAGCUCAACUCCAGAACUGCCUUUGAUACUGAGGAUCUCGAGUCCGGGAGAGGUGAGUGGAACUCCGAGUGUAGAGGUGAAAUUCGUAGAUAUUCGGAAGAACACCAGUGGCGAAGGCGGCUCACUGGACUGGUAUUGACGCUGAGGUGCGAAAGCGUGGGGAGCAAACAGG